CCGUAAUCGGAAUGAGUACACUUUAAAUCCUUUAACAAGGAUCCAUUGGAGGGCAAGUCUGGUGCCAGCAGCCGCGGUAAUUCCAGCUCCAAUAGCGUAUAUUAAAGUUGUUGCGGUUAAAAAGCUCGUAGUUGGUUCUGCGUGCCGCGCUGUCGGUUCGCCGCCUGUCGGUGUUACUGGCAUGUCGCGGCAUGUCCUGUCGGUGGUGAAUGAAAUCCCCGGUGCUACGUAGGCUUUAAUUAGCUGAAGUAUGUGCUGUGGUGAUUUCAUUUGCCGAUUUCUCCUACUCCGGUGCUCUUAAACGAGUGUCGAGGUAGGCCGACACAUUUACUUUGAACAAAUUAGAGUGCUUAAAGCAGGCUGAAAUAUCUGCCUGAAUAGUGGUGCAUGGAAUAAUAAAAUAGGACCUCGGUUCUAUUUUAUUGGUUUUAGGAAUAUGAGGUAAUGAUCAAUGUGGACUGGCGGGGGCAUUCGUAUUGCGACGUUAGAGGUGAAAUUCUUGGAUCGUCGCAAGACGCACUAGAGCGAAAGCAUUUGCCAAGUAUGUCUUAAUUGAUCAAGAACGAAAGUUAGAGGUUCGAAGGCGAUCAGAUACCGCCCUAGUUCUAACCAUAAACGAUGCCAGCCAGCGAUCCGCCGAUGUUCCUUUAAUGACUCGGCGGGGAGCUUCUACCCGGGAAACCAAAGCUUUUGGGUUCCGGGGGAAGUAUGGUUGCAAAGCUGAAACUUAAAGGAAUUGACG
rnacentral:rRNA from 1 species